rnacentral:rRNA from 1 species
UAUGGUAAUUGCCAGCCGCCGCGGUAAUACGUAGGGAGCAAGCGUUGUCCGGAUUUACUGGGUGUAAAGGGUGCGUAGGCGGCUUUGCAAGUCAGAUGUGAAAUCUAUGGGCUCAACCCAUAAACUGCAUUUGAAACUGUAGAGCUUGAGUGAAGUAGAGGCAGGCGGAAUUCCCCGUGUAGCGGUGAAAUGCGUAGAGAUGGGGAGGAACACCAGUGGCGAAGGCGGCCUGCUGGGCUUUAACUGACGCUGAGGCACGAAAGCGUGGGUAGCAAACAGG